GAUGAACGCUGGCGGCGUGCCUAAUACAUGCAAGUCGAGCGAACAGAUAAGGAGCUUGCUCCUUUGACGUUAGCGGCGGACGGGUGAGUAACACGUGGGUAACCUACCUAUAAGACUGGGAUAACUUCGGGAAACCGGAGCUAAUACCGGAUAAUAUUUCGAACCGCAUGGUUCGAUAGUGAAAGAUGGUUUUGCUAUCACUUAUAGAUGGACCCGCGCCGUAUUAGCUAGUUGGUAAGGUAACGGCUUACCAAGGCGACGAUACGUAGCCGACCUGAGAGGGUGAUCGGCCACACUGGAACUGAGACACGGUCCAGACUCCUACGGGAGGCAGCAGUAGGGAAUCUUCCGCAAUGGGCGAAAGCCUGACGGAGCAACGCCGCGUGAGUGGUGAAGGUCUUCGGAUCGUAAAACUCUGUUAUUAGGGAAGAACAUACGUGUAAGUAACUGUGCACGUCUUGACGGUACCUAAUCAGAAAGCCACGGCUAACUACGUG
rnacentral:rRNA from 1 species